rnacentral:rRNA from 1 species
GAUGAACGCUGGCGGCGUGCCUAAUACAUGCAAGUCGAGCGAACAGAUAAGGAGCUUGCUCCUUUGACGUUAGCGGCGGACGGGUGAGUAACACGUGGGUAACCUACCUAUAAGACUGGGAUAACUUCGGGAAACCGGAGCUAAUACCGGAUAACAUUUGGAACCGCAUGGUUCUAAAGUGAAAGAUGGUUUUGCUAUCACUUAUAGAUGGACCCGCGCCGUAUUAGCUAGUUGGUAAGGUAACGGCUUACCAAGGCAACGAUACGUAGCCGACCUGAGAGGGUGAUCGGCCACACUGGAACGGAGACACGGUCCAGACUCCUACGGGAGGCAGCAGUAGGGAAUCUUCCGCAAUGGGCGAAAGCCUGACGGAGCAACGCCGCGUGAGUGAUGAAGGGGUUCGGCUCGUAAAACUCUGUUAUUAGGGAAGAACAAAUGUGUAAGUAACUGUGCACGUCUUGACGGUACCUAAUCAGAAAGCCACGGCUAACUACGUG